CCCUUAGAUGUUCUGGGCUGCACGCGUGCUACACUGAUAUUGCCAAUAUGUCAUUCUUAUCCGAAAUGGAUUGGGUAAUCAAGUAAUGAAAUUUCAUGCUUGGAAUCGGUAAUUGCAAUUUUAUCGUGAACGAGGAAUUCCUAGUAAGCACUAGUCAUCAGCUAAUGUUGAUUAUGUCCCUGCCCUUUGUACACACCGCCCGUCGCUACUACUGAUUGGGUGUUCAAGUGAGAUGCUUAGACCCUUGUUGCAUGGUUCAUUAUUGUGCUCCGAAAGGAAAAAGUUUCAAGCUUGAGUGUCUAGAGGAAGUAAAAGUGGUAACA
rnacentral:rRNA from 1 species